UGACAGAAGCUCACAAAGGCAAAAGGACCAGGGUGACGCCAGUGGUUUUGAAACAAUGAUCUUUGGCCACAGGGAUCAACAGCAAGGGUUCUCGGGGUCAAAGGCAAAGGUGGUGCCCCUCAGAAGUCGAGCAGUCAUUGGAUGGACGGCUGGGCGGAAGUGCUCUCCACGCAAGCUUGGGGCUGCAACAGACCCUUGGCCAAAGCUCUUGUCAUCAGGUGCACAGGCAAGAUCUCCCCCUCUCAAGCCUCCUGGCUUUCUUUGUUUUGUAUUUGUGUAGGGCUUGACUCAAGGUCUGCUUGGACACCGACAACUCUCACAGACUCUGCCUCAGCCUGGGAGCCACCUCACCGGGGAACCCUCACCUGGAGGUGCUGCCUCCGUUCUACCAACAUUGACCAGACACAGAGCUCGGCCCUCCACCUGGUCCUCACAGAAUCAACCCUGAAGAAACCCCACUCACCAUGUGAGGAGGCAGCAGGGAGUGGUCUCACCUCACACCCAGGCUUCGGCCAUCUUGCUGACUUCUCAGCGCUCCAGGUUCCCUGGAAACCACGUCCCAGACAUGCGGGUCCCUGGGAAGUGUGACCCAGUCCCGGCUCCAGGGCUCCAGAAGUUUCCCUGCUGCGGGGGAGCAGCUCUGCCUUCGCCAGGCCUCUGGCUUGCUGGGGAAGAAAAUGUUGGCCUUCACACUGCAUCCGCUCCACGACAAGUGUUUGCAGCUCUUUGCAAAACCUUUGUUAUGGCUCCGCCAUCUCUCUUGGUCUCUCAUUUAAAUUUAAAAAAUUAAAAUUAAAAUUCUCUCCCUGUGGACUAGAGAAAGACCAAGCUCAAUAAUUCCCCUCUCCUUUCCCUGCUGUCUCCCCCUCUCCCAGCCAGAGCUGCUCUUCCUGCUGCCCUGGCUCCUAUCUAAGUCUGCCCUGCACAGGCCAUGCCUGUGGGUGCCAGGGGGCGCAGCUUCUAGUUCUGCUCACAAGCAAACUCAGAGGCACAACCACCCAACUAGAGCAGCAGACUGGCCAGAGCUGGGGUUGCUUUUUGGCCUGCUUGUCCCUGUGGCCUGGGAUCUGACCCCAGGAGUGGACUCAACCCUUCGUGCCUGUCCUCACCCGUGUAAACAAGGACCACCCAUCCCACCUGACCAUGUGGGUCUCGUUUCCCAGGAAUGCCCAGCAUGGCCUCCCGCCCCCCGUUGUGAAAUUCAUGUCACAGAGAAAGAAGCUGGGGCCCUCCUUGCUUUUCUCACGUAUGAUUUUGGCCACGGAUCACUCCUGGGACAACCGCCCAUCCAGCCCAAUGGGCUCCAAAGCCUGCAAAGCCUCCCCUCCUGUGGUCCAGGCCAAACCCCAAACAUGUCUGGAAAAUGUCCACAGGCCAAGCCUGGAAGAACAGUGGCUCUGGAUGAGGGACCUCGAGGAGCCCCAGGCAGAGGAGAGACUCUGCCCUGGAGCCACUGCGGGUCCUUGGGGAAGAGAAGGUCACCUGUCCUGCAUGAGGAAGUGAGAAAACUGCCCACCUCCCCCUCAGGACCUGGCUCUUCAGCUCUGCACCCACAGAGGGAGAAGCUACUGUGCCCUUCACAGGAGCGAUGGUCGGGUCUUGAAUGUCCCCAGGAGGGACAUGCAUCCCCAGCCUGUGGUGCCAGGGGAAGGAGAUGAACCCUUAGGAGGGGGCUGGUAGGAGGAAGUUAGGCCAUUAGGGGGUCUUGAGGGGACCCUGGGCACAGCCCUUCCCCUCUCUGUCUCUGCCUCCUGGCCACAUGUCGGUGAGCAGCUCUGCUCCUUCAUGUGUGCCCCACUGUCACAUGCUCCCUCACCACAGGCCCAACAGCCAUGGAACCACUGAGCCAUGGACAGAAUGCUCUGAAGCCGUGAGCCAAAAUAAACUUUUCCUCCAACUAA